rnacentral:piRNA from 1 species
UGUCGUUGCCUGCAGUGUUACCCUGUGC